rnacentral:rRNA from 1 species
GACGAACGCUGGCGGCGUGCUUAACACAUGCAAGUCGAACGGAAAGGCCCUGCUUUUGUGGGGUGCUCGAGUGGCGAACGGGUGUGUAACACGUGAGUAACCUGCCCUUGACUUUGGGAUAACUUCAGGAAACUGGGGCUAAUACCGGCUAGGAGCUCCUGCUGGAUGGGGGGGGUUGGAAAGCUUCGGCGGUUGGGGAUGGACUGGCGGCUUAUCAGCUUGUUGGUGGGGUAGUGGCUUACCAAGGCUUUGGCGGGUAGCCGGCCUGAGAGGGUGACCGGCCACAUGGGGACUGAGAUACGGCCCAGACGCCUACGGGAGGCAGCAGUGGGGAAUAUUGCACAAUGGGCGGAAGCCUGAUGCAGCAACGCCGCGUGCGGGAUGACGGCCUUCGGGUUGUAAACCGCUUUCGCCUGUGACGAAGCGUGAGUGACGGUAAUGGGUAAAGAAGCACCGGCUAACUACGUG